rnacentral:tRNA from 1 species
GGCCCGUUUGCUCAGCUGGUCAGAGCAUGGUGUUAAUAUCACUGAGGUCAUGGGUUCAAUCUCCAUAGUGGCCA